GCACGUAGUUAGCCGGCAGCUUCUUCUGACGGUACCGUCAAUCACCUCGGCUAUUCACCGGAUGACCUUCGUCCCAUCUGAAAGAGGUUUACAACCCUAAGGCCGUCUUCCCUCACGCGGUGUUGCUGCGUCACGCUUUCGCGCAUUGCGCAAGAUUCCCCA
rnacentral:rRNA from 1 species